CCUACGGGUGGCAGCAGUGGGGAAUAUUGGACAAUGGGGGGAACCCUGAUCCAGCGACGCCGCGUGAGUGAAGACGUAUUUCGGUAUGUAAAGCUCUAUCAGCAGGGAAGAAAGAAAUGACGGUACCUGACUAAGAAGCCCCGGCUAACUACGUGCCAGCAGCCGCGGGAAUACGUAGGGGGCAAGCGUUAUCCGGAUUUACUGGGGGUAACGGGAGCGUAGACGGCGAUGCAAGUCUGAAGUGAAAGGCGGGGGCCCAACCCCCGGACUGCUUUGGAAACUGUAUGGCUGGAGUGCAGGAGAGGUAAGCGGAAUUCCUAGUGUAGCGGUGAAAUGCGUAGAGAUUAGGAGGAACACCAGUGGCGAAGGCGGCUUACUGGACUGUAACUGACGUUGAGGCUCGAAAGCGUGGGGAGCAAACAGGAUUAGAUACCCCGGUAGUC
rnacentral:rRNA from 1 species